CAGCUAAAAACACUGAAGCUCAGAGGUGAAGAGACAUACCCAAAAUUGCCGUCGGUUUAGACAUCCUCUCCUCCCUGAUUCCUGCUGUUGACAGGUAUGAUGUGAAUCCUCAGAAUCUACACAGUGGGUGAUAGUUCCCUCAUCAGAGCACUCUGGAAGGCAGUGAACAGUUAAGAGAAUAAAUGAAAAUGCCCUCCAUCUCCUCCUCAAAAAUAGUUGACAUGCAUUGAAUGCCUGCUCCGUCAAAGGCACUUUGCCAAAUGCUUUCCAUGGACUAUUUUGUAUCAUCCUUAACAGAGGAGGAUAACCGUGGCCAAAAGAUGUUGACGGUUUGCCUAAGAUUGCAGAACCUGCUAAAAGCAGAAGCAUUUUCAAGCACAGAAACACCCGGGGAAAUGUUCAUUCUUCCUUCAACAACUCUGAAAUCUCCUAAAACAUGCAGCCCACCAGGAGUGGCAAUGGAAAAAAGGCACAGGAAGAAAAUAAACCAAGAAGGAAAAGAUAACACACACAUCUCAUGUGGGCCUUCAGGAAGGAUGGGAGAAGCAGGGCAGGGAGAGGGAGAAGCACCAGCCAGCCUCAGUUCUUCCUUUGCUCAUCCCUCCCCCUUCUUUUCCCUUCCCUCCCCCUUUUCCUGCAUGCAGCAGCAGAUGUAUGAAUGCUUGGAUGGCUUGGCAAAACACUCUCCAAGAUUUAUUUCUGUUGGACAAUCUUGCAUUCUUUUUUUUUCCCCCUGCUGACAACUCUGUCAACAGCAGGCUCCUCUGUGAGGCUGUGAAUUUGGAAAUCACGUACUUGAUACAGACAUUGUUGCAAUGAUACAAACCAGACUAAGAAAGUGGACUCCUGAGAUCAGGGAGACCUGCAGACCUACUUGGUUCAUUACCUGGGAGUCACCGAGACCUCAGGGCUUGGCGAAGAGACCAUCUGGGGAGGGGGAGGGGGCAGCGGUCCUGGACGUGUGGUCAGUUCAAGGCAAGGAGAUGGUUCCAGUAGUUCAAAAGCUAGAUCUGUUUGUACGAGCUCCAACAGUAGCUUUGAAUUGCUUUGAAACUCGAGUGUUGAUAAGCCGCUAGGUAGCGGGGUACUGGGUAAUAAAUGUGAAAAAUGUUU